rnacentral:lncRNA from 1 species
AGAUUUUUCACACAUUACUAAUGAGUUACUUCUAAUGUGCAUUCUUUAAUAAAUCAGAAGUUGUUUGUUGUAAAGGCUGAUUUCAUAUAAAUGUCACAUUUCAAGUAUCGCAGUGUAUUGUGAAGGCUGAUUUUUUAUAAUGAUAUUUUUCUAUCAGUAACGUUGAUUAAACUAUGUGUUGGUAAGAUUAUUUUUCUUUUUAUUGAUAUUUUCUGUCCAGAAGUUGUAUAUAAGAGUGUCUGAAAUUUGUGAUAUUUCUUUAUGUACAUUUAAGAACUGUUGUGAUAUUUCUUUAACUAUGUAUUGUGAACGCUGAUUUUUAGACGUAAAGAUUGCUGAUAUACAUAGGAUAAAUCAGAUUUUUGACACAUUACUAAUGAGUUACUUCUAAUGUGCAUUCUUUAAUAAAUCAGAAGUUGUUUGUUGUGAAGGCUGAUUUCAUACAAAUGUCACAUUUCAAGUAUCGCAGUGUGUUGUGAAGGCUGGUUUCAUCCUAUGUACAUUUA